GUGAGGGAGGUGGUGAUUAGUGACAGAGGGAGGGAUGGGGUGAAUAGUGACAGAGUGAGGGGAUGACUAGUGACAGUUAGGGAGGGGAUGACUAGUGACAGAGGGAGGGAUGGGGUGACUAGUGACAGUUACCACCUCUGUCACUAGUCACCAUCUCCCUCCCUCUGUUACUAGUCAUCCUCUCCCUCAUUCUGUCACUAGUCACCCCCUCCCUCACUAGUCACCCCCCCUGUCACUAGUCACCCCUCCCUCACUCUGUCACUAGUCACCCAUUCCCUCCCUCACUCUGUCACUAGUCACCUUCUCCCUCAC